GGCCUAUCAGGGUUGUAGUGGGUGUAAUGUACCUACUAGCCUACGACGGGUACGGGUUGUGAGAGCAAGAGCCCGGAGAUGGAUUCUGAGACACGAAUCCAGGCCCUACGGGGUGCAGCAGGCGCGAAAACUUUACAAUGCGGGAAACCGUGAUAAGGGAAUCUCGAGUGCCAGCAUAUAAUGUUGGCUGUCCAGAUGCCUAAAAAGCAUCUGUUAGCAAGGGCCGGGCAAGACCGGUGCCAGCCGCCGCGGUAACACCGGCGGCCCGAGUGGUAACCGCUAUUAUUGGGUCUAAAGGGUCUGUAGCCGGCCAGGUAAGUCCCUUGGGAAAUCUGGCAGCUCAACUGUCAGGCUGCUAGGGGAUACUGUUUGGCUUGGGACCGGGAGAGGUGAGAGGUACCUUGGGGGUAGGGGUGAAAUCUUGUGAUCCUCGGGGGACCACCAGUGGCGAAGGCGUCUCACCAGAACGGGUCCGACGGUAAGGGACGAAAGCUAGGGGCACGAACCGGAUUAGAUACCCGGGUAGUCCUAGCCGUAAACGAUGCUCGCUAGGUGUCAGUCACGGUGCGACCGUGAUUGGUGCCGU
rnacentral:rRNA from 1 species